CGAGUGAAGCGGCAACAGCUCAAAUUUGAAAGCUGGCCCCCUCGGGGUCCGCGUUGUAAUUUGUAGAGGAUGAUUCGGCGAGGGCUCCCGUCUAAGUCCCCUGGAACGGGGCGUCACAGAGGGUGAGAAUCCCGUAUGUGAUGGGCUGCCUUAGCCAUGUGAAUCUCCUUCGACGAGUCGAGUUGUUUGGGAAUGCAGCUCUAAAUGGGAGGUAAAUUUCUUCUAAAGCUAAAUACCGGCCAGAGACCGAUAGCGCACAAGUAGAGUGAUCGAAAGAUGAAAAGCACUUUGGAAAGAGAGUUAAAAAGUACGUGAAAUUGUUGAAAGGGAAGCGCUUGCAGCCAGACUUGUCCGCAGUUGCUCAGCCGGUCUCCUGACCGGCGUACUCUUCUGCGGCCAGGCCAGCAUCAGUUCGGGCGGUCGGAUAAAGGCCCCGGGAAUGUAGCUCCUCUCGGGGAGUGUUAUAGCCCGGGGCGGAAUGCGGCCAGCCUGGACUGAGGAUCUCGCUUCGGCUAGGAUGCUGGCGUAAUGGCUGUAAGCGGCCCGUCUUGAAACACGGACCAAGGAGUCUAACAUCUAUGCGAGUGUUUGGGUGUCAAACCCAUACGCGUAAUGAAAGUGAACGGAGGUGGGAACCCUCACGGGUGCACCAUCGACCGAUCCUGAUGUCUUCGGAUGGAUUUGAGUAAGAGCAUAGCUGUUGGGACCCGAAAGAUGGUGAACUAUGCCUGAAUAGGGUGAAGCCAGAGGAAACUCUGGUGGAGGCUCGCAGCGGUUCUGACGUGCAAAUCGAUCG
rnacentral:rRNA from 1 species